CCCAACCCUCGUGGAAGGGGCGCUUUUAUUAGAUCAAAGCCAAUCGGGCCUUCGGGCUCGUUUAAUUGGUGACUCUGAAUAACUUUGCUGAUCGCAUGGUCUCGUACCGGCGACGUAUCUUUCAAGUGUCUGCCUUAUCAACUGUCGAUGGUAGGUUAUGCGCCUACCAUGGUUGUAACGGGUAACGGGGAAUCAGGGUUCGAUUCCGGAGAGGGAGCCUGAGAAACGGCUACCACAUCCAAGGAAGGCAGCAGGCGCGCAAAUUACCCACUCCCGGCACGGGGAGGUAGUGACGAAAAAUAACGAUGCUAAACUCAUACGAGGCUUAGCAAUCGGAAUGAGUACACUUUAAAUCCUUUAACGAGGAUCUAUUGGAGGGCAAGUCUGGUGCCAGCAGCCGCGGUAAUUCCAGCUCCAAUAGCGUAUGUUCAAGUUGCUGCGGUUAAAAAGCUCGUAGUUGGAUCUCGGUUUCGGGAGGGCGGUGCGCCCAGCGGCGUCUACUGUCCACCCGGACGAUUUUGUUGGUUCGUUCAUGGUGCUCUUAACCGGGUGCCUUGAGUGGCCAGCACGUUUACUUUGAAAAAAUUGGAGUGCUCAAAGCAGGCGCUACAGCCUGAACAAUUGUGCAUGGAAUAAUGGAAUAGGACCUCGGUUCUAUUUCGUUGGCUUUCGGAGUCGAGGUAAUGAUUAAUAGGGACAGACGGGGGCAUUCGUACUGCGACGUUAGAGGUGAAAUUCUUGGAUCGUCGCAAGACGAACUACUGCGAAAGCAUUUGCCAAGAAUGUUUUCAUUAAUCAAGAACGAAAGUUAGAGGUUCGAAGGCGAUCAGAUACCGCCCUAGUUCUAACCAUAAACGAUGUCGACUGGCGAUCCGUCCCCGUUAACUGAAUGACUGGACGGGCAGCCUCCGGGAAACCAAAGUCUUUGGAUUCUGGGGGAAGUAUGGUUGCAAAGCUGAAACUUAAAGGAAUUGACGGAAGGGC
rnacentral:rRNA from 1 species